GAUGAACGCUGGCGGCGUGCCUAAUACAUGCAAGUCGAGCGAACGGACGAGAAGCUUGCUUCUCUGAUGUUAGCGGCGGACGGGUGAGUAACACGUGGAUAACCUACCUAUAAGACUGGGAUAACUUCGGGAAACCGGAGCUAAUACCGGAUAAUAUUUUGAACCGCAUGGUUCAAAAGUGAAAGACGGUCUUGCUGUCACUUAUAGAUGGAUCCGCGCUGCAUUAGCUAGUUGGUAAGGUAACGGCUUACCAAGGCAACGAUGCAUAGCCGACCUGAGAGGGUGAUCGGCCACACUGGAACUGAGACACGGUCCAGACUCCUAAGGGAGGCAGCAGUAGGGAAUCUUCCGCAAUGGGCGAAAGCCUGACGGAGCAACGCCGCGUGAGUGAUGAAGGUCUUCGGAUCGUAAAACUCUGUUAUUAGGGACGAACAUAUGUGUAAGUAACUGUGCACAUCUUGACGGUACCUAAUCAGAAAGCCACGGCUAACUACGUG
rnacentral:rRNA from 1 species